AUACGGAGGGUGCAAGCGUUAUCCGGAUUCAUUGGGUUUAAAGGGUACGUAGGCGGAUAGAUAAGUUAGUGGUGAAAUCCCGAAGCUCAACUUCGGAACUGCCAUUAAAACUGUCUAUCUUGAAUUUGGUUGAAGUGGGCGGGAUAUGACAUGUAGCGGUGAAAUGCAUAGAUAUGUCAUGGAACACCGAUAGUGAAGACAGCUCACUAAGCCAAUAUUGACGCUGAGGUACGAAAGCAUGGGUAGCGAACAGGAUUAGAAACCCGAGUAGUCC
rnacentral:rRNA from 1 species